rnacentral:rRNA from 1 species
AAACGCCGGAUAAUACGCCAUGGUCCUUAGGGUGGCAUCACUUGGGAUAAAGCAGCGAUGCGUCGGGACGGGCAUGCGUCCCAUUAGAUGGUAGGCGGGGUGACGGCCACCUAGUCGACGAUGGUAGGGGAUCUGAGAGACGGUCCCCCACACUGGUACUGAGACACGGACCAGACUCCUGCGGGAGGCAGCAGUAAGGGAUAUUGGGCAAUGGUCGGAAGACUGACCCAGCCAUGCCGCGUGAGGGAAUGAGGCCCUACGGGUCGUGAACCUCUUUUAUUCGGGGACAAGGCGGCGCACGGGAUGCGUUGUUGAGGGUACCGAAGGAAUAAGCAUCGGCUAACUCCGUGCC